GCCUCCUGCCAGCCCCACCCUGGUGACCGAGAAGCCUCCCGCCAGCCCCACCCUGGCCAUCGAGGAGCCUCCUGCCAGCCCAGAGCAGGAGUUGAGCGACUGUGCGACAAACACCAGCAGCUCUGCAUACUCCUGCGGGGCCAGCAGCUCCUCCAUGUGGUCUGGCAGCCCUGAGUUUCAAGGCUCCCUCUUUGGAGGUGAUUCCCAAGUAGAUGCAGGAGGUGGGUUCGGAGUUCAACGACAAACGGAUUGUAGCACUGCUCUGCCAAAUCCAGCAUUGUCUCAAGCCUGCUGUGUGAUGAUGUAGUGGGUUGCGAUGGUGUGGACUGAAGACCAUGUUGCUGCUCUACAGAUAUCCCGGAUGGGAACCUGUGCCAUGAAUGCCACUGAAGACACCUGAGCCCUCGUGGAAUAUGCCGUCAGUGCCGGAGCAGGGAUUUUCACCAGGUCAUGCGAAUACAUGCGAAUACAAGAAGUAAUCCAUGAAGAAAUUAUUUGGGCUGAGACUGGGAGGCCCUUCAUUCUAUCUGCCAUUGCCAUGAAGAGUUGAGUAGUCUUCCUAAAGAAUCUGGUCCUAUCUGUGUAGAAGGUCCUCAACUGCCUAACAUCUAGCAAGGUCAACCUCUGCUCUUGGCUAUUGGCAUGUGGAACUGCAAAACCACCUUUGGGAAGAAGGUCGGGUGGGGGCACAGCUGGGACCUUGUCCUUGAAGAAGACCAUGUAGGGUGGUUAUGAAGUAAGGGCUCUGAUUUCUGAGACCCUCCUGGCCAAGGUGAUGACCACGAGGAAGACCACCUUCCACGAAAAAUAAAGCAAAAAGCAUGUUGCCAAGGGUUCAAAUGGUACCCCCAUGAGUCUUGAGAGAACCAAGCUGAAGUCCCAAAGUGGGAUUGGCUGUCCAGUCCUGUAAGAAAAUGGCUACAGAGCGGGUUAGCGAAGAUAUACCUGCCUCUCUUGCCCGGGUCGAAGGCCGAAAUGGCUGCCAGGUGCACCCUAAUCGAAGACACUGACAGCCGCUGCUGUUUUAGAUGUAACAAAUGAUCCAGGAUACAUGAUAUUGUCGUUCAAGUAGGCAAGAUCCUCUUCUGCCCUGCACAGAUCGAGAACCUUUUCCAUUUUGCCAGGUAGGUGGUGCUGGUGAAUGGCUUUCUGCUCCCUAACAGAACCUCCUAAACCAGGCCCGAGCAUGCUAACUCCAAAGGGUUCAGCCAUGAAGCUUCCAGGCUGUCAGAUGGAGGGACUUGAGGAUCAGAUGACGUCCAUGAUCCUGGGAGAUCAGGUCUGGAAACAGCAGUAAGGGUGACUGGUUUUCCGACUGCGAGCUCCAGGAGGGUGGUGAACCAAUGUUGACUGUGGCCAGGCCAGUGCUACCAGGAUCAGGCAUUCUCCAUCCCCUUUGACCUUCAGCAGGACCUUGUGUAUGAGCAGAAUGGGUGGGAAUGCAUAGAAAAGAUGGUCCUUCCAUGGGAGAAGAAAUAUGUUUGCAAGCAAGCCCAGACUGUGAUUAUGAAAAGAGCAGAACUGUAGACAUGUCCUGUUGUACUUUGUCACAAGCAGGUCUAUCUGGGGAGCUCCCCACCUCUAGAAAAUGUCCCUCACAACAUCUGGGUGAAUGGACCAUUCUUUAUUGGAGAAGGACCUAUUGAGAUGAUCUGCUAACCCGUUCUGGAGCCCCGGAAGGUAGGAAGCCUCGGCUUCCUGGCAUAGGUUGCAAUGAAGCUGGAGUCUGCCACAGUACCUUGACCGGUUCUAAAAUGGCACUAUUGAGGGGCAGAGCUACCCUUGAUGGAUCCAAUGGUGCCAAGAUAUCCACCAGAGCAUGGGAGGUUGCUGAAACUUCUUCCACCUCAAUCCCCAGGUUCUGAGUGACCCUCUUUAGCAGCUCUUGGAAAAUGUACAAGAAAGUCCACUGGGGAGAGUACCUGCAGAGCAAGAAGGAGCAGUUCCAGCGACCAUCACAAGCAGAAAGCAGGAACUGAGGGGAUGGCAGGUCUGCAGGCUCCUAUACACAACACCAUGAGGGCGCAACUCCAGUGGGCGCCGGAACUGACCCAAUGGAUACCACUUAAAGGAAAAAUCUUCCGGCAACGGUGCAUGCAGAGCAUGUACACCUACACUGGAAUGAGUAUGAGC